UACGUAGGGGGCUAGCGUUGUCCGGAAUCAUUGGGCGUAAAGCGCGUGUAGGCGGCCCGGUAAGUCCGCUGUGAAAGUCGGGGGCUCAACCCUCGGAAGCCGGUGGAUACUGUCGGGCUCGAGUACGGAAGAGGCGAGUGGAAUUCCUGGUGUAGCGGUGAAAUGCGCAGAUAUCAGGAGGAACACCUAUUGCGAAGGCAGCUCGCUGGGACGUGACUGACGCUGAGACGCGAAAGCGUGGGGAGCAAACAGG
rnacentral:rRNA from 1 species